CCCUCCUCUUCCUGUUGGUGCAUCUCAGGGUAUCCUUUUCCCACCCGUCUCCUCCCUCUACUGCCUUUUUCCAGGCGGGAGUGCUUCUUAGAAUGAGCUUGCAGCCACUUCCCUGGCCCGUAGGAAGAGCCGAGGAAAUGCACUGGCUGACUGACAAACGCUUCUCCAGGCACGCGUGACCCUCCUUCGGCUGGCCUCCUCCCGAAGACUGUCCUUCCCACCAAGGCCUCUCUCUCCCUGCCCUUCUACCUCGACUGUGGCCGCGUCUCUAGAAGGGCCAUCACCUCCCCCCAUCCCUCCCUGUGGAGCUUCCGCUCCCUCAAGCCUGCCCGCCAGGUUCUCUCCCGCUUCUCUUCCGCGCUUGGUGCCCUUCCCUGGACCUCCAUCUAGAGCAUCACUGAGAAUGCCGCUGGCGCUCCGCUCUCUAGGCUGCUUCACUCGGGAGUCUCAGACCUGUAUGAACCGCCCAAGCCUCCGGCCUGGCCUCUGGACUUCGCUGCCCUAUUAUACUGCUAUGCUGUGGCCCAAUGAGAAAGUAUUUAUUAAAAAUAAGGGAAACUACAGGUUCAACAAUAAA